rnacentral:RNase_P_RNA from 1 species
UCGGAUGACAGGGUGAUCGCUUGUGGUGACAUGAGAGGAAAGUCCGGACAUCACGGAAAAAUGACAGCGGUUAAUGGCCGCCCGGGGUAACUCGAGAGAAAGUGCAACAGAAAACAAACCGCCUUGUUCGCAAGGUAAGGGUGAAAAGGUGCGGUAAGAGCGCACCGCGUUGAUGGUAACAUUGACGGCAGUGUAAACCUUGUCAGAUGCAAGCCCAAAUAGGACUGUCUUAUGAUGCUUUUCCGCAUCGAUGGUCGGGUAGGGCGCUUGAGGUGGUUGGCAACAACCAUCCUAGAUGAAUGAUUGCUGCCUCUUCCCCACUUUAUGUGUGGAUGCGGAUACAAAAUCCGGCUUAUAAGUCAUCCGAUUUU